CAGCGUCAGAUGUGUAUAAGGGACAGGUGAAUCAUCGAAUCUUUGAACGCACAUUGCGCCCCUUGGUAUUCCGGGGGGCAUGCCUGUUCGAGCGUCAUUAUAACCCUCAAGCCUAGCUUGGUGUUGGAGCAUGCUAUCUAGCAGCUCUUAAAAUCAGUGGCAGUGCCUUCCGGCUCUAAGCGUAGUAAUUCUUCUCGCUAUGGAAACCGGUUGGUCCGCGCCAGAACCCCCAAUUUUCUAUGGUUGACCUCGGAUCAGGUAGGGAUACCCGCUGAACUUAAGCAUAUCAAUAAGCGGAGG
rnacentral:misc_RNA from 1 species